rnacentral:lncRNA from 1 species
UUGAAUUACGUUUUAAUUACUGAACUUUAACUGAUUAAAACGUUAUUUAUUUAUAAAAUUUUAAUCAUCAUGCGGUUAUUCUAACUUAAAAACAUUAUAAAAUAUGAUAUGGAAGAAAUUAUGUCGUUAAAGGCUCACGUGUCACCCGGGUCAGUGCCACAUAAUUAUAUACAUUUUUAUCCCUUUUUUUAUUUUUUACUUUAUUUCUUCCCCCUCUCUCCCUACUCCUUAUUCUUAGUCAUCGCCAUGCCUUCAACUGAUGCACACCAGCACCCAACUCUCAGCCAUUGAGCAUCUUAAACCACCAUCUUCACCAUUUAGCUUCCCCACUCAAACCAGCAACACCAAACUCACACACAACACACUUUCUUCCAACUCACCCUCUCCAAUAGCUCAUUUUCCCCAAGCCUAAAUACAUUCACUGCUACCAUCCACACACCCCACAAUUCAACAUCACCACCAUUCACCAUCAUCAUCUCCACUAUAUUGAUCGCCUUUUUGCCUAUUACACCUGUAUAGCCCAAUUUUAUGCCCAGGCCCAAACAAGCCCAAAACCCAAAACCUGUUACAAAUAAACCCAAUUAACCCUCAGCCCAAUUACAAACAGACCAAACUACCCAAUUAACCCACCAGCCCAACUAACCUAACCCACAAGCCCAAUAACAAUGGCCCAACUUCCCCAAAAUCAGCCUAGGGUUUCAGACCCUUGGCCCUCUGCCAGCCGCCAUCCCCGCUCGUCCGCCGCUGGACGUCCCAUCUGCGUCCAUCACCGCCCAUCCACUUGCAUCGCCACCUGCAAAGAAGAAAAAGCAAGCAAAGACAGAAACAAACGAUAGAAAUAGGCUAUAAAAGCCGAAAAAAUGUAACUAUGGGGGGGCCUCUCUCCUUUUUUUUUCUUUCCUUUUUGUAACAUUUGGACAGAGAUAAAAAGCAAAAAAAAUCAAAGGUGAUUUGGGGUCCCUUUAUUUUGUUGUUUCAACUCCUUUAUUUUAUUUUUGUUUAUUUAUUUGCGAAUAUAUAUAAUAAAGAAAAAGAGGAGAGCUCACCGUAACGGGGUUCAAACACCGAUAUGGCGCUUCGUCGGCCGUCGGAUGCAGUGGCAGUGCGGCGAGCGCAACGGCGGCGCCAACGGCCGGACAUUUGAGAGAUGAGGGGUCUUUUGAGAGAAUAUUAGGUUUUUUUUAGAGAGAAAAC